GCAUCCCUGGCAGACUAAUGCAACUAGUAAUUUUCAUAAUUACGAGGAGAAGCAGAAAGUUUGUAUCGGCAGCCAGCUUCCACGCUGGACACCUGGGCGCCUGAACCUCUUCCUGUCUGGCCUGCUGUUCUGUUUCAGCAAUUUCAAAAGAUGGAAUCUUGCUAUGUUGCUCAAGGUAGAGUCAAAC